GUUAUAUAGAGCAGUGAUUGUGGGAGCAGUGCUCAUAGAGUCACAGAGGGGGAAGUGCUGCCGGUCGUCUCUCUCACCUGACAGACGCUGUUCUUUAAAGAUGAUGGAUCCAAUUGGUUGUGUAACUGCCGUGCUGAAGACCAGUUUGCUGCCUCAAUGGUCGUCAGCGUGGGUCACCUUAUUGACUGAGGAUGAUGACUUAAAGAUGGAGGAUCCAACAAAUGACCCGGAGAGAUUUCUGGUGAACGCCUCUUGCUGCACGGACCUGCACCACACUGCACCAGUCCAGGAAAUAUUAUUUUGGACUUUGUGGUGAGUGGUUACCACUAAGCUGGACUGACUGCCUGCUGCUGCCACUGCCCUGGACUGACUGCCUGCCUGCUGCUGCCACUGCCCUGGACUGACUGCCUGCUGCUGCC